UGGGGAAUAUUGCACAAUGGGCGCAAGCCUGAUGCAGCCAUGCCGCGUGUGUGAAGAAGGCCUUCGGGUUGUAAAGCACUUUCAGCGAGGAGGAAGGGUUCAGUGUUAAUAGCACUGUUCAUUGACGUUACUCGCAGAAGAAGCACCGGCUAACUCCGUGCCAGCAGCCGCGGUAAUACGGAGGGUGCAAGCGUUAAUCGGAAUUACUGGGCGUAAAGCGCACGCAGGCGGUUUGUUAAGUCAGAUGUGAAAUCCCCGCGCUUAACGUGGGAACUGCAUUUGGAACUGGCAAGCUAGAGUCUUGUAGAGGGGGGUAGAA
rnacentral:rRNA from 1 species